AGUUAAACAGUACGUGAAAUUGUUGAAAGGGAAACGAUUGAAGUCAGUCAUACUAACGGGAAAUCAACCUCUUGAGUUUGGUCUCGUGGGUUUCGAAGAGUUUUAAAAGCCUUCGGAUUUUCGAGAUUGGGCUCUUCUGGUGUACUUUCUCGUACGGUUAGUCAACAUCGGUUUUGAAUGUCAUAAAAUGACUGGAGGAAUGUGGCUUCGAUCUCGUAUUGAAGUGUUAUAGCCUUUGGUAGAUGUGAUGUUUGAGACCGAGGAUUGCAACGGAUACCCUUCUGGGCUAUUCGUCUGAUCUCUGAAACGUUGCCUUGAUGUCGAAAGCUUGCUUAUGAUGUUAGGGUAUUACGGUCAAAAGGUUAGAACGGAUUAAAUUCGUUAAGGAUGUUGACGUAAUGACUUUAAA
rnacentral:misc_RNA from 1 species